rnacentral:lncRNA from 1 species
CUUUUGAAAUCUGAUUGUAAUUCAUGUGUUCAGUUUUAUCUUGAACUGUUUUAUUUUCAAUUUUCUGUUUCUGUAACAUAUGUUUAUAAAUUUAUUCAAAGUUUCUUCAUCUGUUUUGUGUUCCUCUUUCAAGCAAAUGGUUUUAUCUAGGUAUGUAUGAAGUGUCUCACGAUGUUUUAUUCUUAACUGUUCAAGUUCCUUCAUGGCUGUUGUAUAUGGAAGCAAGUCAUUUUGAACCCUGUCAUUUCGUACCCAAAGCUGCCAUUUGUACCCGAAUCUGCCAUUUUGUACCCAACAUUUACCAUUUCAUACCCACGAUAAUAUCCAUUUCGUACCCAAUGGGCCAAAUGCAUCUACCAUUUCGUACCUCAUGGACUUAAUACAUGUAAGCUAUUUUGUAUCAUAUUUUUGUAUAGUUUUUCAUGAUUUUAAUGGUUUUUUUUAUAAAAUAAAACAUAUUAAAUAAAAUUGUGCAUCUAGACGUAACAAUUUUAUAAAGACCAAUGAAUAGUUUGAUUAAGCAGCAUUUGGAAACUUCAAUAGUUAUAAUUACAAUUUUUUUGUUUGCAGGAUUUGUCCCAACCUUGUUGUUCUUGAAACAAUCUUUACUUGUAUACUUGUAAGUUUCCUGACGUAUAAGUGCCAUUGAGGAUGAGUUCCAGAGGUCCUUUCUACCAGACAAAGCAGACUAGUAGCGUUUGUUAAUUUGAUUGUUGGGACAGACGAGACCAAACACUUGUAUACAGAAAACAGAAUUAUCAUAUAAUUCUAAUGUUGUGAACACUAUCAGACUAGAGUUCCCAUAGUCGAAUGUGGUACAUGAAGGCUUCCAAGAAUGUACAAGUGACAUGUCUGACUCUAAACAGUUAGUAAACAGACUUAACAGUGACCUAUAGACAUAGACCGCUAAUUGUUCUUGGUAUUUGAAACUGCAUGC